UUAGAGUUUGAUCCUGGCUCAGGACGAAUUCUGGCGGCGCGCCUAACACAUGCAAGUCGAACGAAAUUGUUUUGGUGAAGCCCUGCGGGGUGGAACCGGCUCAACUUAGGGGCGGACGGGUGAGUAACACAUGAGCAACCUGCCUUACAAAGGGGAAUAACUUUUGGAAACGAACGCUACUACCUCAUAACAUAACUGGAUCACAUGAUUUUGUUAUCAAAGAUUUUAUCGCUGUAAGAUGGGCUCGCGUCUGAUUAGAUAGUUGGUGAGGUAAUGGCUCACCAAGUCGACGAUCGGUAGCCGGACUGAGAGGUUAAACGGCCGCAUUGGGACUGAGACACGGACCAGAAUCUUUCGGGAGGCAGCAGUGGGGAAUAUUGCACAAUGGGGGAAACCGUGAUGCAGCGACGCGUCGUGAAGGAAGAAGGCGUUCGGGUUGUAAACUUCUGUCUUCAGGGAUGAUAAUGACGGUACCUGAGGAGGAAGCUCCGGCUAACUACGUGCCAGCAGCCGCGGUAAUACGUAGGGAGCGAGCGUUGUCCGGAAUUACUGGGUGUAAAGGGAGCGUAGGCGGGUUUGCAAGUUGAAUGUGAAAUCUAUGGGCUUAACCCAUAAAAUGCGUUCAAAACUGCAGUUCUUGAGUGAAGUAGAGGCAGGGGGAAUUCCUAGUGUAGCGGUGAAAUGCGUAGAUAUUAGGAGGAACCCCCGUGGCGAAGGCGGCCUGCUGGGCUUUAACUGACGCUGAGGCUAGAAAGCGUGGGUAGCCAACUGGAUUAGAUACCCUGGUAGUUCCCGCCGUAAACGAUGAUUAAUCGGUGUAGGGGGGUCAACCUUCUGUGCCUGGAGUUAACGCAAUAACUAAUCCUCCUGGGGAGUGCGACCGCACAGGUUGAGACUCAAAGGAAUUGGCGGGGGCCCGCGCAAGCACUGGAGUAUGUGGUUUAAUUUGAAGCAACGGGAAGAACCUUACCAGGUCCUGACAUCCACCUAAGGAAGUAGAGAUCCAUUAGGUGUCCUUCGGCGACAGCCGCGCCAGGUGGUGCAUGGUGUUGGUCAGCUGGGGUCGUGAGAUGUUGGGCUAAGUCCCGCAACGAGCGCAACCCCUGCCCCCAGUAGCCACCGGAGAGGCCGGGCACUCUGGGGGGACCGCCGGGGACAACCCGGAGGAAGGCGGGGACGACGUCAAAUCAUCAUGCCCCUUAUGGGCUGGGCUACACACGUGCUACAAUGGCGCCGACAAAGGGAGGCGAAGCGGCGACGUGGAGCAAACCCCAGAAACGGCGCCCCAGUUCGGAUUGCAGCCUGCAACUCGCCUGCAUGAAGCCGGAAUCGCUAGUAAUCGCGGAUCAGGAUGCCGCGGUGAAUACGUUCCCGGGUCUUGCACACACCGCCCGUCA
rnacentral:rRNA from 1 species